UCUCCAUAAAUCGGAGAAGUACCUUCGGGGACAGUGGUGACAGGUGGUGCAUGGUUGUCGUCAGCUCGUGUCGUGAGAUGUUGGGUUAAGUCCCGCAACGAGCGCAACCCUUGCCUUUAGUUGCCAGCAUUAAGUUGGGCACUCUAGAGGGACUGCCGAGGAUAACUCGGAGGAAGGUGGGGAUGACGUCAAAUCAUCAUGCCCCUUAUGCUUAGGGCUACACACGUGCUACAAUGGGUGGUACAGAGGGUUGCCAAGCCGCGAGGUGGAGCUAAUCCCUUAAAGCCAUUCUCAGUUCGGAUUGUAGGCUGAAACUCGCCUACAUGAAGCUGGAGUUACUAGUAAUCGCAGAUCAGAAUGCUGCGGUGAAUGCGUUCCCGGGUCUUGUACACACCGCCCGUCACACCAUGGAAGUUGGGGGCGCCCGAAGCCGGUUAGCUAACCUUUUAGGAAGCGGCCGUCGA
rnacentral:rRNA from 1 species